UACGUAUGGGGCAAGCGUUGUCCGGAUUUAUUGGGCGUAAAGAGCUCGUAGGCGGUGUGUCGCGUCGGCCGUGAAAACCUGCAGCUUAACUGUGGGCUUGCGGUCGAUACGGGCAUCACUGGAGUUCGGCAGGGGAGACUGGAAUUCCUGGUGUAGCGGUGGAAUGCGCAGAUAUCAGGAGGAACACCGGUGGCGAAGGCGGGUCUCUGGGCAGUAACUGACGCUGAGGAGCGAAAGCGUGGGGAGCGAACAGG
rnacentral:rRNA from 1 species